GUCACCAGCGAGUCGAUAAGAAAGAAGUGAGACCUGAGGGGGGCAAGGGAGAGGCAGCAAACGCUUCUUCCCAAAAGCCGGAGGUUUUUUGUUUGGGUUUUGGGGUUGGCUUUUUUUUUUUUUUGAGGUCACUCCAUCUCGACUCUUUCGUCCUUUUGAAUAUAAAAUAAAGGUGACCGACUCAUUUUCCCUGUCCCUUCGCCGGGCUGGGGCGACGCGGUGACUCCGCGCACAGAUUAACUCGAACCAAGAUGUGAAAAAGUUCUCGGUUCUUCCCCCGGUGCUGACCGGGCGUUUCAUAAAAGGUCGGUGUAACUGUCCGAGCUCGCUGCAAACUCGAUUAAACUCCGAAUCUGGAGAACACGGUGGAUAUUUGGAGCUUAAUCGUUGCUACUUCUAUAUGGAACACGGCAAGUUGUUUGCUAAACUUUUGAUAGGAACUUCAGAGUUUCCCCUGUUUAUCUUAAGAGCAAAGAAGAGUGCAACACGUAGUAACUUUUCCAUGGAAGGGAUCUAUUGCCCGGUGCAGGAAACAAUCGAUAUCCCUUUGGAAAAAUAAAGUACAGCUCUUAAAAACUUGAGGGUAAAAAAAAAAAAAAAAAAGUAAAUAAUAAAGAGCCUUGUCCUCCGCUUAAAUUAUCUUUCCCCCUCAAAACCCAGCCAGCAAACCGCCACCGAAGCAGGCGAGCUGCUCUGUCCGCAAACCUGGAAAAAAAAUAAAUAAAAAACACAAAAAAAAAAAAAAAACCCAAACCCGGAAAAAAAAAAAAAAAAAAAACAAAAAAAAAAAAAAAAAAAAAAAAAAAACGCCUCAACAAAAAAAAAAAACCAACCCAAAAGGCGGAGGCAUUCCUGACGGCAGAAGUGAAACCGUCUCUUGUCCAGAGCAGGCAAAGAGUAGCCGCAGUCUCCAGGGAGAGCUCACGGAGGAUGAGCAAAGCGCCGUGUCCUGUGGCAAGAGCGGCGAAGCGGGACGGAGAGACCUCGCUGCGAACCGCCAAGUUGGAGAGGAGGAGAGGAAAGCCCGGGAUCGGGGGGAUAUUUCGAGAAAGGAACCGCGCUAACGGGUUUUUAUUUUAUUGACUCGGAGCUUUCCCCAACCGGGAAUUACCUGCGCUCCCCGCUCCCCACCAAGCCGGGGCCGUGCGUGGGGCUGGGGCGGGAGAUUUUCAAGGGAAUUCGCACUCUCCCCCCCCAAGAAAAUCCUCAUCGGCGAGGCAUCCGCUGUGGGGAAACACAACUGAGAGGGGAAAUCAUCCGCCCAUAGAUUUCACGUAGGAGCGGGGGGGGAAAUAAAUAAAUAAAUAAAUAAAUAAAUAAUAAUCCA
rnacentral:lncRNA from 1 species